AUCCACUGACUCACACCUGCCUCUCUGCUUGUCCAGAGAGGUACAGAGAAGUAAUGACUUGGACUUGAGGAAGGCCCUUGUAGGACAUGUGAAUGCCAGUGCUCAUGGAGAAAGGUGGAGGAAGAGAGCCAGAGUGCAGUUCACCUCUGGGAGAGCAGACCAGAGUGGCUUCCGUGGGCACAUGCUGGAUUGAAGUGAGAAGACGUGACUACUAAAGUUGAGGCCCCAAGUCUCAGCUUCUUCCCCCUCCAAAGCAUGAGUGGAGGAUUCACUUAAGGCCACUUUGAAGCCCAUAUUGGAGGAGCAUUACUCACUCUGAGGAUCCUGGCAUAGGCAGAUGCAUCACUUGUAUUGAAGUAUAUUAUCUGCUGUGAUAUUUAUGAUGAAAUGAGUUUGCCAGCCAUCGUCUAUCAGGGGAUCAAACAUAGGCACCUGCCUGUCCAAGGGGGUCUAAGUCACAGUACAGAAGUGGUUUGCAAAGGCUGGUGGGAUGGUGUGGCAGGCCUGUGGAGUUGAAUAAAAAUCCUGAUGUCCUUCCUGGCAUGAAGAAUGGAGCUGCCAAGCUGCCCCCAGGAGAAGCGUGCUGCCUAUGCAUCUCACUGGACUUCUGUGUACAGAAGAAAUAUUGGUGGUUUGACCAAACGCUCGGGCUCCCCACGACUCCCGUUGUUAUAUGGGAAAGAACAAGGUCUGGCCCACCUCUCUAAACCUUUAUAAAGGAGCCAGCUGGUGCCUGCCACUUUGUUGCCCACUGGAGAAGACUGGCUGCAUGCAUGUCAUGCACCAUAUCCCAGCAGCAAAGGCCCUGAUUUUUUUUUUUUAUCAGCUGUAGUUCAUUUGUAAAUUAUUAACCUCUCAAGAGCCAAUAUUUGCUCAGGGCCUUCCAGUCCAUCUCAAGUGUCGAUACUGUGCUUGGGAGAUUGCGGGGGAGGAUGGUGCAGGGAGCUCGGUCUGACACGCUGUUGUUGGGGAGGAAAAUGCUCUUUGUCUAGCAAGAGAGGAGGAUCUGACUCAGCAGCAGUAGAACCUCAGGCCAGCCCUUUUCCCACCUGGGGCUGAGGAGACUCAGCCAUGUGAGAGUCCACAUAGAAGCAGGGGUCCUCAGUGCUCUCUAACCACAUUGAGAGUCUACUCUGCCCCAAACCACUCCACUAUGCCAGGCUGAGGCUUUUUAGGCCAAUAUAUAUCUAAGGAUAAAAUGAAGGGAGUUCUGGAUGAUGCAUUAAGAACACUCCUGAGACAUUAGAGCCUUGCUUUGGAUUUGAAGAGGGGAACUUUACUUGUCACCCUGGGUGAAGUCAAUUCCUCUGUGAAUCUCCCCAGUGAGACUGUGGGUACCUUAGGAGAAGAGACAGUGACUUAUUCAUCUCAGAAUCCUCAGACUAGAAUAAGGCCUGGGAUUUAUCAGGCAUUCAGUAAAUUCUUGCUGAAUGAGCAAUUAACUUGAGGUCUUCAGGGUUCCUGGGACCAAAGAGUUGGCCUUUAUAAAAGCACAUUCGUAAUUCAAUCUGUACAAGUAGUACAAUUCAGUAUGGUAUGUUACAAGUCAGUUAUUGAAUAUUACACAUUGCCACAAUGAUCUGUCAGUAAUAAAGACACAGUCCAGAAAAUAUUCUCUCUCGUAGGUCACAACAGUUGACCAGUUGACUCCAAUGAUCUCAUUAAAUAGCUUGAGGUUGAAAAUAACCUAGUGUUUCUCUUACCCAAUACACUAUUUGCUGAUUGAACAACAUAAAGUUUCCAAAAGUGGAAAGGGCAUUAUGAGGAAAGGUAUUAAAAUAAAGCUAUCAUCUUAACUUUUAAUAAAACUGUGUACAAUACUGAAGAUACUUUAUAGCAAGAUGAAAAAAUUAGAGUCCUUGGUGUUGUGCAGAUGAAUUCUAGUCCCAGCAUUAUUCCAUAAUAUGUACCUUGGGCAAAUUAACAACUCUGAGACUCAGUUUUCUCAUCUUUAAAAUGGGGAUACUCUAUCUACCUCUUAAAGUUAUUGUGAGGACUGAAUGAGUUAAUACUUGGAGAGGACUCAGAGCAGGGCAUAGUUAAGGACUCAGUAAGAGCUAACUUUACUAACAUCGCUACCAUCACAAAUAAUAAGUAAGAAAACGUACCUUGAGGAUCUUGCAUAGUACCUGGCAUAAAAUAGGCUCUUAAGAGAUGAAAGCCAAUUAGUACUAGUAAUUAGAGUUUAAAAUGAUAAGAUUUUAAGGCAUGUAGAAAACAAGAAUAUCUUGUGUUUCUGGCAACCAAAGUUAUUCUAUUCCAGGCCAUGGGGAUCUCCUAUUUCUCCAGAAAUAUGGAGGCUACAAGAGAGAACUAACAUUUAUUGGGCACUUACAUUGUACUAGUUACUGUGCUAGGGGCUUUAAAAACAGUUUUUCCAUUUAAGCAAAUAAUCCUAAUAUUUUAGAUAAUUUACCUGAAACCCACCGAGAUGACGUAUUUCUCCAAUGGUUACAUUAGCUAAUACUGGUAGGACUAAGAUUUCAACCCAGAUAUGUUUGGACUCUAUAGCCUGUAUGCUUUCCACUUUUCAGAAACUUAUAAACAAAACAGAGCAAAAACUUUCUGGAACUCUCUGGAGCCCUUGGCUGUUCUCUGGACCUUCCUUUGCUGUGUCUUGGGGCAGGCACAUCUUGGCUUAGGCUGAGCUUUUCUAUUUGCCAAAAGAGUCAUCUCAGAGGGCACAGCCUGGAGUGCAGCUCAACAAACAUAUGUGUAACAGCCGAGUGCCACCACGUUAAGAACUGGACUUACAAGAUGGAUAGGACCUGGUGGCAGCUGUCCUUGAGGAAGCCAGAGCCUGGAGAGACAGAUCUCAUGUUAUAGCAGAGUACCAAUAUUCUGCAGAAAACCAAAACCUCACCUGCAUUCCUACUCCUAUCAUGAUGUUCUGCCCCCCGGGACCCUUGUUUAUGCUGGUCUCUCCUUUUGAAAGAACGUUACCCUUUUCUUCACCCAGCAAAUUCUUACUCAGACUUCAAGACUCAGUUCAGAGUCUGGGGAUGAAUAUUCUACAAAUGGCCCCCAGGAUUGUCAUGGUCCUCACGGCAGGUGAUUUGCUCUUGAACAAUUAACAGAGUGAAGGCUGUGUUCCAUCUCCUCACAGUCUCCCGCUGGGCAUCCUUGGGAGCACAGGAGGAGAAAGGCUUUCUUCUUGAUCCUAUUACUGCUGCCCAGCAUCAAGAAGGAUUAAUUAACCCACCAGGUUUUGCUUCAUUACGAGGAAAAAAGAAAAGCCAGUGACAGUGGAAUUCAAACAUUGAACAGGCAAAGGAAUCAGUGCUCAAGCACCUUAUGAACAUUUCGAAGACUUAGCUGGGCGGUGUGGCGCAAUGUAAAGUAGGGUGACUUGGUGCAAGUUACACACCCCUGCAGCCCUGUUUCUUCAUCCUCAGAGUUCACACUUCAAUUCUACAAAUUGAUGGCCUAUUCUGAGCUAAGCCCCGCCCACUCUGAACUAAGCCCCGCCUACUUUGAUUCCCUACUCUGAGCUAAGGAACAGUCUUUCAUCCCCAUGAAAGCUUUCUGUCUAGAAGGAACUAAAGAGCAUAAUUAUACUUAUUUUCCAGUGCUGUUGUUAGAAUUAAUUAAAUGUGGUAUAGCAUGUGAAAGUACUCUGUAACUAAA